CACCUGGGUGGCAGUAGUGACCCUGAGUGUGGAUUUGGGCCUGGCUGUGGGUGUGGUCUUCUCCAUGAUGACUGUGGUCUGCCGCACCCGGAGCUCCUCCAGGUCCCGGGGCUCUGCAUCCUGAGCUAUCCAACACCACUGUACUUUGGGACCCGUGGGCAGUUUCGCUGCAACCUGGAGUGGCACCUGGGGCUCGGAGAAGGAGAAAAGGAGACUUCAAAGCCAGAUGGCCCAAUGGUUGCAGUUGCUGAGCCUGUCAGGGUGGUGGUCCUAGACUUCAGUGGUGUCACCUUUGCAGAUGCUGCUGGGGCCAGAGAAGUGGUGCAGCUGGCCAGCCGAUGUCGAGAUGCUAGGAUCCGCCUCCUCCUGGCUCAGUGUAAUGGGUGACUCCAGAUCAGCUGUUUGUGAGUGUGCAGGAUGCAGCUGCUUAUGCCCUGGGGAGCCUGUUAAGGGGCAGUAGCACCAGGAGCGGGAGCCAGGAGGCACUGGGCUGCGGCAAGUGAGGCAGGGGAGCUCACUGACCCAAAGAUUUGCACCGUGUGGGUCUGACCUCAUCAUGUGGAGUGCAGAGGGCCCUGAUGACAUGUGUGUGAUGAGGACCAUGACCCUUGAACCCCCUUACCUAACGUAACUAAUAAAAUGAAGCUGAGAGCUUUGGAAUCC
ensembl:lncRNA novel transcript